GCUGGGCUUUAACUGACGCUGAGGCACGAAAGCGUGGGUAGCAAACAGGAUUAGAUACCCUGGUAGUCCACGCUGUAAACGAUGAUUACUAGGUGUGGGGGGUCUGACCCCUUCCGUGCCGCAGUUAACACAAUAAGUAAUCCACCUGGGGAGUACGACCGCAAGGUUGAAACUCAAAGGAAUUGACGGGGGCCCGCACAAGCAGUGGAGUAUGUGGUUUAAUUCGAAGCAACGCGAAGAACCUUACCAGGUCUUGACAUCCUAGGAAUCCUUUAGAGAUAAGGGAGUGCCUUUCGGGGAAUCUAGAGACAGGUGGUGCAUGGUUGUCGUCAGCUCGUGUCGUGAGAUGUUGGGUUAAGUCCCGCAACGAGCGCAACCCUUACUGUUAGUUGCUACGCAAGAGCACUCUAGCAGGACUGCCGUUGACAAAACGGAGGAAGGUGGGGAUGACGUCAAAUCAUCAUGCCCCUUAUGACCUGGGCUACACACGUACUACAAUGGCCGUCAACAGAGGGCAGCAAAAUGGUGACAUGGAGCAAAUCCCUAAAAACGGUCUCAGUUCAGACUGCAGGCUGCAACUCGCCUGCACGAAGGUGGAAU
rnacentral:rRNA from 1 species